AACCAGUGCAUUUGCUUGUGGUUUUGGUUCUUUUUCCUAUCCCAUCUUUUUAAAUUUAUGUUUUUCAUGUGACUCAAUUGACUAUCUCAUCCGCGGCAGGCCAUGGGACUACAUCUUCUCAUGCUCUUGAACCGACGAAGCCACCUCCUGGCCCUAGAAUGCCUGAUGGAACCAGAGGAUUCUCAAUGGGACGAGGUCGGCCUCCUAUCUCAAAUCAGAGUUAGCACGUGAUAUGGUCCCUUCAUCUAUUGUAUUUUAUAUGUACGUUGUAUAGACGUGGAAAUUGGGCUUGGUUUGAAUGUUCUUGCCAUGACAGGGG
rnacentral:lncRNA from 1 species